rnacentral:rRNA from 1 species
CUACGGGUUGCAGCAGUCGAGAAUCUUUUGCAAUGCGCGAAAGCGUGACAAUGCGACGCCGCGUGAGCGAUGAAGGCCUUCGGGUUGUAAAGCUCUGUCAGGCCGGAAGAAUUGCAGUUGGGUUAAUACCCCAACUGUUUGACGGUACGGCCAAAGGAAGCCACGGCUAACUCCGUGCCAGCAGCCGCGGUAAUACGGAGGUGGCUAGCGUUGUUCGGAUUUACUGGGUGUAAAGGGCAUGUAGGUGGCUGGAUAAGUCCCAAUUGAAAUACUUCGGCUCAACCGAAGAAUUGGUUGGGAAACUGUCUGGCUUGAGUUCAGGAGAGGAGAAUGGAAUUCCCGGUGUAAAGGUGAAAUUUGUAGAGAUCGGGAGGAACACCUGUGGCGAAAGCGAUUCUCUGGCCUGAAACUGACACUGAAAUGCGAAAGCUAGGGGAGCAAACAGGAUUAGAUACCCGCGUAGUC